UGGGGAAUAUUGCACAAUGGGCGCAAGCCUGAUGCAGCCAUGCCGCGUGUGUGAAGAAGGCCUUCGGGUUGUAAAGCACUUUCAGCGGGGAGGAAGGCGUUAAGGUUAAUAACCUUGGCGAUUGACGUUACCCGCAGAAGAAGCACCGGCUAACUCCGUGCCAGCAGCCGCGGUAAUACGGAGGUUGCAAGCGUUAAUCGGAAUUACUGGGCGUAAAGCGCACGCAGGCGGUCUGUCAAGUCGGAUGUGAAAUCCCCGGGCUCAACCUGGGAACUGCAUUCGAAACUGGCAGGCUAGAGUCUUGUAGAGGGGGGUAGAAUUCCAGGUGUAGCGGUGAAAUGCGUAGAGAUCUGGAGGAAUACCGGUGGCGAAGGCGGCCCCCUGGACAAAGACUGACGCUCAGGUGCGAAAGCGUGGGGAGCAAACAGG
rnacentral:rRNA from 1 species